GAUGAACGCUGGCGGCGUGCCUAAUACAUGCAAGUCGAGCGAACGGACGAGAAGCUUGCUUCUCUGAUGUUAGCGGCGGACGGGUGAGUAACACGUGGAUAACCUACCUAUAAGACUGGGAUAACAUCGGGAAACCGGAGCUAACACCGGAUAAUAUUUUGAACCGCAUGGUUCAAAAGUGAAAGACGGUCUUGCUGUCACGUAUAGAUGGAUCCGCGCUGCAUUAGCUAGUUGGUAAGGUAACGGCGUACCAAGGCAACGAUACAUAGCCGACCUGAGAGGGUGCUCGGCCACACUGGAACUGAGACACGGUCCAGACGCCUACGGGAGGCAGCAGUAGGGAAUCGUCCGCAAUGGGCGAAAGCCUGACGGAGCAACGCCGCGUGAGUGAUGAAGGUCUUCGGAUCGUAAAACUCUGUUAUUAGGGAAGAACAUAUGUGUAAGUAGCUGUGCACAUCUUGACGGUACCCAAUCAGAAAGCCACGGCUAACUACGUG
rnacentral:rRNA from 1 species